rnacentral:rRNA from 1 species
AGAUUGAACGCUGGCGGCAGGCCUAACACAUGCAAGUCGAGCGGUAGAGAGGUGCUUGCAUCUCUUGAGAGCGGCGGACGGGUGAGUAAUGCCUAGGAAUCUGCCUAGUGGUGGGGGAUAACGUUCGGAAACGGACGCUAAUACCGCAUACGUCCUACGGGAGAAAGCGGGGGACCUUCGGGCCUCGCGCCAUUAGAUGAGCCUAGGUCGGAUUAGCUAGUUGGUGAGGUAAUGGCUCACCAAGGCGACGAUCCGUAACUGGUCUGAGAGGAUGAUCAGUCACACUGGAACUGAGACACGGUCCAGACUCCUACGGGAGGCAGCAGUGGGGAAUAUUGGACAAUGGGCGAAAGCCUGAUCCAGCCAUGCCGCGUGUGAAGAAGGUCUUCGGAUUGUAAAAGCAACUUUAAGUUGGGAGGAAGGUUGUAACUUAAUACGUUGCAACUUUGGCGUUACCGACAGAAUAAGCACGGCUAACUCGUGCCAGCAGCCGCGGUAA